AGACCCUGUUCACAAACAAGAACUUCAGCUGUGACAAAUGAACUGGAGAAAAAAAAAAUCACAGAACAGGAGUGAAGUUUGGACGAAGGUUCUUACUCUCAGUCCAGUACGACCCACGAGACCCUUCUCUCCUGGUUUUCCAGGUUCACCCUGUGGAGGAGAAAUCACAUGAUCAUCGGGAAUCCCAUCACUCCUGGCUGACCACGAGCUCCCAGAGGACCGGGGGGGCCGGGGCGACCAUCCUCACCAGAGGCACCCUGUUAGAACAAGCAGUGGACCGGCAGCUCCAGGUUCUCCUCUGGCUCCUCUCUUUCCUUCCUCACCUGCGGGGCCUGGGGGGCCUUGAGGACCAGCAACGCCCUGAAAAAAAUAUAGUUCUCCCUUAGGUCCAGCUUCACCUUUGAAUCCAGGAAGACCAGGGUCUCCCUACACAGGUCAACGAAGAAGAAAAGGUGGACCAGAAGGACCGGGCAGACCAUCAUUUCCACGAGCUCCCUGGAAAAAGAAGAAGAAAAAGAAGAAGAAGAGGAGGAGACGCCUGUCAGGUUCUAUCAUCAUAACAAAGUGACCGCAGUAACACUGCUGAUAAAUGGACACUAGGUGGAGUGACGUAAACACUUACUGCAGCUCCAGAUGCCCCAGGACGUCCUCUCUCACCAGGCAGACCACGUGGGCCCUGUGACAUGAAGAUACAGCUCAUAAGUCCCUCAACGUCUACUACAAAUAAAAAACACCUUCUGCUGCUCUGUGACAUCCAGAAUCAUCUCACCAUUGGUCCAGCAGAUCCGUUCUCACCAGCAUUUCCGGAUUCUCCCUGCACCGGUCUCUCCCUUGGCUCCAUCCAGACCAGGAUGACCCUGCAGAGACAGUCACGUGGUCAGGGGUGAAGAACCGGGACAGCAUCAUCCAGGGAUGCACUUAGAAAAGUCUAACAAGGGCUGGCUGAUGCUUCGGUUUGGUGCCACCUUGUGGUCAUGUGCUGCAUCACUCUUCAUCACCUCUUCUAAACUUUCACUCUCUACUGUCUUGACUUUUUUUCAUUUUUAAAAAACAUGCUCAGAGAUUUUUAAACUGUGGCCACUUCCGCCCUGCAGGGGGCGCCACUGUUUUCAUCAAAGUAGCAGUGAAGCUUCGAUCACUCACUCUGUGUCCUUUGAUUCCAGGAAGUCCAGGAGUUCCAGGGAAUCCACGAGCUCCCUGGGAUUCAAAGAAAAACAAAACAAUUGAUUCAUCUUUGUUGCCUUUGUACGAACCCUGAUGGGCUGCACCAACGUGGGCCCCGUGAU